AGUCGAACAAAAUUUAUUUAUUUUUUAGACAAAUUAAUUGGAAAUUGAAUAAUUUAAUUGAAAAUAAAUAUUAAAAA
rnacentral:misc_RNA from 1 species